GGACGUGAGGGCUAUCUAGCUGUAACAUCUGUCACCCUAUUGAUCGCCAAGGUGGAUCUGGCUGAUCUAGCUGGCUGGGCAGGUGUCCCCUUCCCCGCUCAUCACUCCAUGUGCAUCCCUCCCAAAGCCAAACACUUGAAGAGGAUGACCGUCUCUGAUAGAGGAGGACCAGUCUUCGGUCAAGGGUAUACCUCCAAACCUCCAAAUAAGUUCUCAAAACAGAGGAUUCAUGUCAAGUACUUAGCCCAGUACCCCACACAGUAUAUGAUAAACAAAUAUUAGAUCUUAUAAACAUCACUGCCAUCCACCAUCACGGGCAUUGCAUGGAUGUGGAA
rnacentral:snRNA from 2 species